rnacentral:rRNA from 1 species
GACGAACGCUGGCGGCAUGCCUAACACAUGCAAGUCGAACGGAGAUUACUUCGGUAAUCUUAGUGGCGAACGGGUGAGUAACGCGUGGGCAACCUGCCCUCUAGAUGGGGACAACAUCCCGAAAGGGGUGCUAAUCCCGAAUGUGACAGCAAUCUCGCAUGAGGAUGCUGUGAAAGAUGGCCUCUAUGUAUAAGCUAUCGCUAGAGGAUGGGCUUGCGUCUGAUUAGCUAGUUGGGGGGGUAACGGCCUACCAAGGCGAUGAUCAGUAGCCGGUCUGAGAGGAUGAACGGCCACAUUGGGACUGAGACACGGCCCAGACUCCUACGGGAGGCAGCAGUGGGGAAUCUUCCGCAAUGGGCGAAAGCCUGACGGAGCAAUGCCGCGUGAGUGAUGAAGGAAUUCGUUUCGUAAAGCUCUUUUGUUUAUGACGAAUGUGCAGAUUGUGAACAAUGAUUUGUAAUGACGGUAGUAAACGAAUAAGCCACGGCUAACUACGUGCCAGCAGCCGCAGUAA